UACGGGGGGGGCAAGCGUUGUUCGGAAUUACUGGGCGUAAAGGGCGCGUAGGCGGCCUGUUAAGUCGGACGUGAAAUCCCCGGGCUCAACCCGGGAACUGCGUCCGAUACUGGCAGGCUUGAAUCCGGGAGAGGGAUGCGGAAUUCCAGGUGUAGCGGUGAAAUGCGUAGAUAUCUGGAGGAACACCGGUGGCGAAGGCGGCAUCCUGGACCGGCAUUGACGCUGAGGCGCGAAAGCCAGGGGAGCAAACGGG
rnacentral:rRNA from 1 species